UGGCCAGUACGGAGAAAUAAGUAAAACCACAAGUCCAAAUCCCUAUCUCCAUCGAUGGCUAAUUUAGGAAAGGCCCGAUUUUAGCUAGCUAGCUAACCACUGGAGGACAACAACACAAUGAGAUGCAACAAUUCAAGUUUUUUUCUGUCAAUAAUGAUGUUUGGCUUGUGAUGUGAUGUGAUUGGUCUGAAGCCAAAUCCAAACUGGCUUCCCUUGACACUCUUUUGUUGUUGGUGCGCCUGGACCAAUCACAGCUGAGCUCACACAGUUUAGCUCAACGCUGAUUGGCUAUUAUAAAAAAUUCAAGGGAGGCAAAAUGCUCGUUGGCUUUCGUUGACACUCUUUUGUUGUUGGUGCAUCUAUGAAUCUAGACAUCAUUGUGAAGGUGGCAAAACGUUUUUCUGGAUAUCCAGAACUUUACAGACGAAAUUCUACAGGGAAUUAUACAGAAUGAAGAGGUCCCCCCCUCCCAGGUUCCAGAGCCUGUCUAGGGAUCUGAAUAGACAUUUAAAUCCGCCUGAAAGAGUACAGUUGUAGUUUUUGUGUUUUAUUUACUUUUGAAUAUUAGAAGUGUUUUUUGUUGUUGUUACAUUUACUUAAUCUUAAUUAUUUUGCGUUGGUUUGUCAGUUUCACCCCCCAUCCAGUAGAUGGCGGCAUCCACCUCACGUUAUUUGCGGACCGCCAUAAUACCAUGGAAGAAGAAACUAUAGCAUUCCGGACUGGGACUGUCGGUUGCGCUAGUCGUUAGUAGCAUCUGAAUAUACCAAGCCAUGGGGGAGAGUCUGUGCGUUGUUGUGCUCCUUUUGUGUGGGACUCUGAUCCCCUUCGUGACCGCUGGCGAUGACUGUGAGGGCUACGUUGACGCCAAGAGCCAAUACCAAUCCAAGCAGUACUGCGGUACACUCCAGGGGUGCUGUGGAACGUGUCAGAAUAGAUAUUGCUGCAGCAAUGUCUUCAAACAGAUGGGGACGUCUGAACAGAACAGCUGCUUUUUCAGGUAGUAGCAGCAUCAGCAGCAGCACGUUCACCAUCUGGCCAUUCAUCGCAAUACCGGUCAUCUUGGUGAUUAUUUUCAUCUCUUGCUGCGUGUGUCCCUGUUGCUGCAUGUACAACAUGUGCCGGAAGCCCAGACGUAAGUCUCUCCUUUUGAUCACAACACGUUUCCUGAAGCCCCGGUGUACGUUACAGCCUUGCAGAAGUAUUCAUCCCCCUUUGUUGUUUUUACUAUUCUGUUGCUUUACAACCUGUAAUUUAAAUUGAAUUUAAAUUUAAUGUAAUGGACAUACACAAAAUAGUCCAAAUUUGUGAAGUGAAAUGAGAAAUACAACUUUAAUAAUUAAUUAAUAAUAAAUCAUUAAUAACUGAAAAGUGGUGUGUCUCCAUAGACAAACAUUGCCAGUAGAAUGGCCUUACUGAAGAACUCAAUAACUCAAGAACUCGGUGACUUUCAAUGUGGCACCGUGAUGGGAUGCUUUCCAACAAGUCAGUUCGGUAAAUUUCUGCCCUGAUAAAGCUGCCCUGGUCAACUGUAAGUGCAUAUGUAUUCACCCCCUUUGCUAUGAAGCCCCUAAAUAAGAUCUGGUGCAACCAAUUACCUUCAGAAGUCACAUGAUUAGUUAGAUUGCACACAGAUGGAUUUUUUUUUUUAAAGUGUCACAUGAUCUGUCACAUGAUCUCAAAGUUGUGGAGAAGUACAGAUCAGGGUUGGGUUAUAAAAAAAUAUCUGAAACUUUGAACAUCCCACGGAGCACCAUUAAAUCCAUUAUUAAAAAAUGGAAAGAAUAUGGCACCGCAACAAACCUGCCAAGAGACGGCCGCCCACCAAAACUCACGGACCAGGCAAGGAGGACAUUAAUCAGAGAGGCAACAAAGAGACCAAAGAUAACCCUGAAGGAGCUGCAAAGCUCCACAGCGGAGAUUGGAGUAUCUGUCCAUAGGACCACUUUAAGCCGUACUCUCCACAGAGCUGGGCUUUACGGAAAAGUGGCCCAAAAAAAAUAAGCAAACACGUUUGGUGUUUGCCAAAAGGCAUGUGGGAGACUCUCGAAACAUAUGGAAGAAGGUACUCUGGUCAGAUGAUACUAGGAAUGAACUGGUCAGAAUUGAAGUAAUGAUGGAUGGCGCUAAAUACAGGGAAAUUCUUGAAGGAAACCUGUUUCAGUCUUCCAGAGAUUUGAGACUGGGACGGAGGUUCACCUUCCAGCAGGACAAUGACCCUAAGUAUACUGCUAAAGCAACACUCGAGUGGUUUAAGUGGAAACAUUUAAAUGUAUUGGAAUGGCCUAGUCAAAGCCCAGACCUCGAGAAUAUUGAGAAUAUGUGGUAUGACUUAAAGAUUAAUGUACACAAGUGGAACCCAUCCAACUUGAAGGAGCAGUUUUGCCUUGAAGAAUGGGCAAUAACCCCAGUGGCUAGAUGUGCCAAGCUUAUAGAGACAUACACCAAGAGACUUGCAGCUGUAAUUGCUGCAAAAGGUGGCUCUACAAAGUAUUGACUUUGGGGGGUGAAUAGUUACGCACGCUCAAGUUCUGUUUUUGUCUUAUUUCUUGUUGGUUUCACAAAAAAAUAUUUUGCCUCUUCAAAGUGGUAGGCAUGUUGUGUAAAUCAAAUGAUACAACACUCCCCCCCCCCNNNNNNNNNNNNNNNNNNNNNNNNNNNNNNNNNNNNNNNNNNNNAAGUGAAGUAGAUAAUAUACAAAAGUGAAAUAAACAAUACAAAUUAACAGUAACCAUUACACAUACAGAAGUACAAAAACAAUAAAGACAUUACAAAUGUCAUAUUUUAUAUAUAUAUAUAUAUAUAUUACAGUGUUGUAACGAUGUACAAAUAGUUAAAGUACACAAGGGACAAGGGAAAAUAAAAACAUAAAUAUGUGUUGUAUUUACAAUGGUGUUUGUUCUUCACUGGUUGCCAUUUUCUUGUGGCAACAUGUCACACAUCUUGCUGCUGUGAUGGCACACUGUGGGUAGUAUUAUCUAACUAACUUACUAUAUCGUUCUUAUUUCGCAAUAUCCACUUCCUCCGUAGUUACUGGGUCCUGAACUAGACCUGUGUAUUUCUGAGUGGAUUGACUUUAAACAUGCAAUAUGUGUUGUGUGACUCGUGGAGUUGAACAGUUUGUUGUUAAUUUAGUUGCUAAAGUAAAACAAGUGUUUGCUUCCAUGAUGUCACAGGAAACGAACUCGUAAAUUACAUGGGUGAGACUGGGAACAGUGUUUCACCCCAUCUUGGGUUGUAAAUGGUGAAAUUUGAAAUAUACACUAUGUUGAGGGCAUUUAGCCAGUGAGAUAGAGACAUUAAUUAUUUGCUCUGCAGCUGAUUGUGAGA
rnacentral:lncRNA from 13 species